UAUAUACUCCCUCCGUCCCAAAAUUCUUGUCUUAGGUUUGUCUAGAUACGAAUGUAUCUAACACUAAAAUGUAACUAGAUACAUUCGUAUUUAGACAAAUUUAAAACAAGAAUUUUGUGACAGAGAGAGUAUAUA
rfam:Triticum urartu cultivar G1812 contig762147, whole genome shotgun sequence.